rnacentral:rRNA from 1 species
UACAGAGGUCUCAGGCGUUGUUCGGAUUCAUUGGGCGUAAAGGGUGCGUAGGCGGCGCGGUAAGUCGGGUGUGAAAUUUCGAGGCUUAACUUCGAAACUGCAUUCGAUACUGCCGUGCUAGAGGACUGGAGAGGAGACUGGAAUUUACGGUGUAGCGGUGAAAUGCGUAGAUAUCGUAAGGAAGACCAGUGGCGAAGGCGGGUCUCUGGACAGUUCCUGACGCUGAGGCACGAAGGCCAGGGGAGCAAACGGG